UAAGGUAAAUUUCAUGUUUGCUUAUGUCUGAUUUUGUCAACGAGGUGAAAGGCAAAAAACUGCACUCAGUUGAACUGGGCUGCCUAGGAAUUCACAAAACACACACACGCAAACCUCAGAUGUUUACCAGCUACCUCAGAUCAUCACGUGUUGUGAACCACACCCAUCCACAUCUGGUGUUACAACUCUCCUUCUGAUUUCAGACAACCUGCCUUUCAACAACUCCACAAUAAUUCAUGAGCUGCAAUCCUCCUGACUGCAACCUCAGGUCUUUUUCAAGGAAAAUAAGGAAAUGUAUGGUGAUCACGGACACCAGUCCCCAGCCGCACCCCUACUCAGCUCUUAACAGCAAUGUUUCAUGAAAUCAUUUGAAUCAGACAGAAAAGGGCCAGUGUUUAAAAUGAUGGUGCUUUGUCUGUCCUAGGAUGUGCUUUCUCCUCUUCACUCUGCUGCUAGAAGGAACCAAAGAAGUUAAAGAGAUGGCAAAAUAAAGGUUCAUCAGCAAGUAAAAAUGAAGUGUCUGCUGGCCUGAACUUAACACACCCAAAAACGUGGAAGUGAGAACCAUGGAACACAGAUUCCAGGGCAAAUUUAUGGUGGCAACAGCAACAACAGCAACAGUGGUGCUACUGAGAUACAGCAGGACAAAAAGCUGUAAAGGCCAAGAACCUCCUUUUCUGUAUGAUGAAGCUGCAGUUCUAAGAAGGCAGGAAAAUACCCCAUUGUUUCUUUGUUUGUUUUCUCUUUGACCUUCUGCUGCCUGGCUCUGAGCAUGACACUCUUGUGGAAAAGAAUGGUUUCUAAACAGUGGAAGUAAAAGGGAAUUAAAUGAAAACAGAAAUUAUCAGAAUUAUUGCAGAGAGUGAGAAGCUCAGGAAAACACCCCAUAAAGUUUUUUAAAAACCUGGGUUCAUCUCCAUUUAUAAUUUCUUAGAAAUGAACCUAAUUACAGUACCAAAGACUUUGAUACUGAGCUGAACCAGACUUUACACAUAGUUCAGAUGAAACACUAAGUGGUGCACACCAGACAAAUCUGAACAGCACUGCAAAGACCAUGAAUGUUGAACUAAUGUUGGAACCAUAAAAUAAGAAGGUGAGUUGGAGCUUGCAGCCCAAACUUACAAAUUGAUUGCCUAUUAAAAGGAACCAAUGAACAAAAAUUAUCAACCUUCUCUAUAGUAUUUAAAUAAGACCUAAUGGCUCAUAAUGUACUGCCCAGAAUAGCCAGGCUAUGUUCUAAAAUUAUUUAGAAUGCAAAGAAUCAUGAAAGUGUCAACUCUCACUGAAAAACUCAACAGGCCCAAGAGACAAGAUGACACAGAAGAUGGAAUUAUCUGACAAAAUUUUUAAAGCAGCUACAUUUACACACUAGGAAACUCUAUGGCGCAGUUCAACCCUGUCAUACAGGGUCGCUAUGAGUCGGAAUCAAUUCAAAGACACACAAAAAUAACAAUAACUAUAAAAAUGUCAAAUGAGUAAUUGCAAAUACUAGUAAUAAAAUAAAAGCAUCAACAAUGAAUUAGAAGAUAAAAGGAAAAAUUUUAGAACUAAAACAACAAUAACUGAAGUGAAAAACUUACUUGAUGAACUCAAGAAUUUAAUGGAAAUGAUACAAUAAAGAUUUAGUGAGCUGAAUUAACAGACCAAUCAGAGUAAAAAAAGAGGGAAAAACAUACAAUAAUGAACAGAGUUUCAGAAUCUGUUCUAUAACAAAAAUAUCUAAUGCUUGUGUCAUCAGAGUCCAAGAAGGAAAGAAGAAAAAGUGAAAGGUGCGAAAACUAUUUGAAUAGGUGCUAAAAAUUUUCCAGGUGGGACAGAAGACACAUACCUACAUGAUUCAAGAAACUGAGCAAAGCAUUAACAGAAUAAGCCUAGAGAUUCAUGCCCAGACAUAUUAUAAUCAAAGUACAGAUAACUAAAGACAAAGAAAAAAUCCCAAAAGCAGUGAGGGAUAAUCAGUGCAUUACCAACAGGAGAACAAUGAUUUAAACGACAAUACAUUUCUUAUGAGAAAACAAGAAGGCCAAAAGAGAGUAAUAUAUUUUUAAAAUGUUGUAAGAAAAGAACUGUCAACCUAGAGGUGUACAUCCAGCUAAAAUAUCCUUCAGAAAUGAAGAAGAAAUAAAAGCUUACUCAAAUGAGGAAAUACUGAGAGAAUUUGUAGCCAACAUACCUGCUGUAAAAUAAUUGCUAAAAGAAGAUGAAGGGAAAUGGUACCAGGUGGAGACUUAGAACAUCAGAAAUCAAGGGAGUACAACAAAGACAUUGAAUAUCUGGGUAAACAUAGAGACAUUUCUUCUCUUCUUGAGUUCUUUAAAAUAUGUUUGAUGAUUCAAAGCAAAAAUUAUAAACAUGUAUAGCAUGGUUCUCAAUGCAUGUACAUAUAGUAUUUAAGAGAAGUAUAGCAACAAGAAGGGAGGGUAAAGGAAAAUAUAAGGUGAUAACAUUUCACAAUUCAAAUUGAAGCGAUAAAAUAUUGGUUACAAACAAAUUGUAAAAUGCUAAGAAUGUUUUCUGUAAUGCUGAAAGCAAUUUCUUAAAAAAAGAAUUUUUUUUGAAGUAAUCAGAAUCCCAAUAGAUAAAUUGAAAAGCAAAACUUAAAAAUGUCAAAGUAAUCCAAAAGAAUAUGAGAAGGGAAACCUGAAGAGACAAAAACAGAGGUAACAAAGAAAAAACAAAUAAUAAACUGGUAGACCUACAUACAGGAGUCCUUGGGCAGUGCAAAAAGAUAAGCACUCAACUGCUAGAUGAAAUGUUAGUGGUUUGAAUCCACCCAGAGGAGCCUAGGAAGGCAGACCUGAUGAUCUGCUUCCAAAAGGUGACAGACCUGAAAACCCUAUGAGACAGUUCUGGUCUGCACAUAUGGGGUCACCAUGACUUGGAAUUCCCUCGAAAGCAACUAGCAACAAUAACAGAUCUAUCCAUCAGUCUAUCAUCCAUUUGUCUAUCUAUAUAUUAAUAUACAUAUACACACACAUAUGUAUUUACAUGAAAGUAUUUUCGCUAAGUACAAUAUUAAACUAAAAAUAAAAAAUGAAAGAAUAUCAAAAAUACCCAAAUAUAUGAAAAUUAAUAAACAUACUUCUACAUAAUAUGUCAAAGAAGAAGUCGCAAGGAAAAUUAGAAAAUUCUUUGAACAGAAUGAAAACAAAAAUACAUCAUACCUAAAUUUGUGGUAUACAGCUGAAGGCAAAAUAUAAAGAGAAACUCAGGGAAUUAAAUGCUUAUAUUGAAAAGAAGAAAGGUUACAAAUCAUUAAUCUAAGCUUCCCCCUACAAACCAAGAUUUGGAUGGGGGAGGGGGAAGAAAAUUAGACCUAAAGAAGCAGAAGAAAAGAAAUAAUGGAGAUAGAUAGAAACCACUGAAAUAGAAAACAAACAAAACAUAGAAUACAUUGAUAAAACCAAAUUCUGAAUCUUUAAAAAGAUUUUAAAAAAUUGUGCACCUCCAUUAAGACAAAUCAAGGAAAAAAACAUUAGAGGACACAAAUUACCAAUAUCAGGAAUGAGAAAGGGACAUUAUUACAGGUCCUAUAAAUAUUAAAUAGAAAGUUGAAAACAAAACGGUUUUAAAAAAUUGAAAAAUCAAUGUUCAAUACAAUAAAACCAAAAACUUCAGUGAAAUGAAAUCCCUUGAAAGACACACACUAACGGAACUCACCCCAACAGAGGUUAAUAAACUGAAAAGUUCUAUAUCUGUUAAAGAUAUGAAAUUUGUUAAAAAACUUUCCAACAAAAAAAGCUACAGGCUCAGAUGGUCUCGUUAGUGAACUGUAACAAACAUUUAAACAAGUAAAAAUACAGUCUAUACAAUCUCUUCAAGAAAAUACAAGGAGAGGGAAAACUUCCCACUCACUAUAUGAGGUAAACUUUACAUAGAUGGCAAAAGCAAAAAAAAAAGGGGGGGAAUUAACAAAAUCGAUAAACCAUUGGCUAGACUGACUAAAGAAAUACAGGAAAGGAAAUAAAUAACCCGAAUAAGAAACGAGAAGGGCCACAUCACAACAGACCCAACUGAAAUUAAAAGAAUUAGAUUAUUACAAAAAAUUGUACUCUAACAAAUUUGCAAACCUAGAAGAAAUGGAUGAAUUCCUACAAAAACACUACCUACCUAAACUAACACAAUCAGAAGUAGAACAACUAAAUAGACCAAUAACAAAAAAAGAGAUUGAAAUGGUAAUCAAAAAACUCCCAACAAAAAAAAAGCCCUGGCCCGGAUGGCUACACUGCAGAGUUCUACCAAACUUUCAGAGAAGAGUUAACACCACUACUACUAAAGGUAUUUCAAAGCAUAGAAAAUGACGGAAUACUACCUAACUCAUUCUAUGAAGCCACCAUCUCCCUAAUACCAAAACCAGGUAAAGACAUCACAAAAAGAGAAAAUUACAGACCUAUAUCCCUCAUGAACAUAGAUGCAAAAAUCCUCAACAAAAUUCUGGCCAAUAGAAUUCAACAACAUAUCAAAAAAAUAAUCCACCACGACCAAGUGGGAUUUAUACCAGGUAUGCAAGGCUGGUUUAAUAUUAGAAAAACCAUUAAUGUAAUCCACCAUAUAAAUAAAACAAAAGAAAAAAACCACAUGAUCUUAUCAAUUGAUGCAGCAAAGGCAUUUGACAAAGUCCAACACCCAUUUAUGAUAAAAACUCUUACCAAAAUAGGAAUUGAAGGAAAAUUCCUCAACAUAAUAAAGGGCAUCUAUACAAAGCCAACAGCCAAACUCACUCUAAAUGGAGAGAGCCUGAAAGCAUUGCCCUUGAGAAUGGGAACCAGACAAGGAUGCCCUUUAUCACCGCUCUUAUUCAACAUUGUGCUAGAAGUCCUAGCCAGAGCAAUUAGGCUAGACAAAGAAAUAAAGGGCUUCCGGAUUGGCAAGGAGGAAGUAACAUUAUCUCUAUUUGCAGAUGACAUGAUCUUAUACACAGAAAACCCUAAGGAAUCCUCCAGAAAACUACUGAAACUAAUAGAAGAGUUUGGCAGAGUCUCAGGUUAUAAGAUAAACAGACAAAAAUCACUUGGAUUCCUCUACAUCAACAAAAAGAACAUCGAAGAGGAAAUCACCAAAUCAAUACCAUUCACAGUAGCCCCCAAGAAGAUAAAAUACUUAGGAAUAAAUCUUACCAAAGAUGUAAAAGACCUAUACAAAGAAAACUACACAGCACUACUACAAGAAAUUCAAAAGGACAUACUUAAGUGGAAAACCAUACCUUGCUCAUGGAUAGGAAGACUUAACAUAGUAAAAAUGUCUAUUCUACCAAAAGCCAUCUAUACAUACAAUGCACUUCCGAUCCAAAUUCCAAUGCCAUUUUUUAAUGUGAUAGAGAAAUAAAUCACCAACUUCAUAUGGAAGGGAAAGAAGCCUCAGAUAAGUAAAGCGUUACUGAAAAAGAAGAAGAAAGUGGGAGGCCUCACUCUACCUGAUUUCAGAACCUAUUAUACAGCCACAGUAGUCAAAACAGCCUGGUACUGGUACAACAACAGGCACAUAGACCAGUGGAACAGAAUUGAGAACCCAGAUAUAAACCCAUCCACAUGUGAGCAGCUGAUAUUUGACAAAGGCCCAGUGUCAGUUAAUUGGGGAAAAGAUAGUCUUUUUAACAAAUGGUGCUGGCAUAACUGGAUAUCCAUUUGCAAAAAAAUGAAACAGGACGCAUACCUCACACCAUGCACAAAACCUAACUCCAAGUGGAUCAAAGACCUAAACAUAAAGUCUAAAACGAUAAAGAUCAUGGAAGAAAAAAUAGAGACAACCUUAGGAGCCCUAAUACAAGGCAUAAACACAAUACAAAACAUUACCAAAAAUGACGAAGAGAAACCAGAUAACUGGGAGCUCCUAAAAAUCAAACACCUAUGCUCAUCUAAAGACUUCACCAAAAGAGUAAAAAGACCACCUACAGACUGGGAAAGAAUUUUCAGCUAUGACAUCUCCGACCAGUGCCUGAUCUCUAAAAUCUAUAUGAUUCUGUCAAAACUCAACCACAAAAAGACAAACAACCCAAUCAAGAAGUGGGCAAAGGAUAUGAACACACACUUCACUAAAGAAGAUAUUCAGGCAGCCAACAGAUACAUGAGAAAAUGCUCCUGAUCAUUAGCCAUUAGAGAAAUGCAAAUUAAAACUACAAUGAGAUUCCAUCUCACUCCAACAAGGCUGGCAUUAAUCCAAAAAACACAAAAUAAUAAAUGUUGGAGAGGCUGCGGAGAGAUUGGAACUCUCAUACACUGCUGGUGGGAAUGUAAAAUGGUACAACCACUUUGGAAAUCUAUUUGGCGUUAUCUUAAACAGUUAGAAAUAGAACUACCAUACAACCCAGAAAUCCCACUCCUCGGAAUAUACCCUAGAGAAAUAAGAGCCUUCACACAAACAGAUAUAUGCACACCCAUGUUUCUUGCAACUCUGUUUACAAUAGCAAAAAGCUGGAAGCAACCAAGGUGUCCAUCAACGGAUGAAUGGUUAAAUAAAUUGUGGUACAUUCACACAAUGGAAUACUACGCAUCGAUAAAGAACAGUGACGAAUCUGUGAAACAUUUCAUAACAUGGAGGAACCUGGAAGGCAUUAUGCUGAGCGAAUUAGUCAGAGGCAAAAGGACAAAUAUUGUAGAAGACCACUAUUAUAAAAUCUUGAGAAAUAGUAUAAACUGAGAAGAACACAUACUUUUGUGGUUAUGGGGGAGGGGAGGGAAGGAGUGUGGGAGAGGGUUUUUUACCGAUUAAUUAGUAGAUAAGAACUACUUUAGGUGAAGGGAAGGACAAUACUCAAUACAUGGAAGGUCAGCUCAACUGGACUGGACUGGACCAAAAGCAAAGAAGUUUCCGGGAUAAACUGAAUACUUCAAAGGUCAGCGGAGCAAGGGCGGGGGUUUGGGGACUAUGGCUUAAGGGGACUUCUAAGUCAAUUGGCAAAAUAAUUCUAUUAUGAAAACAUUCUGCACCACACUUUGAAAUGUGGUGUCUGGGGUCUUAAAUGCCAACAAGCGGCCAUCUAAGAUGCAUCAAUUGGUCUCAACCCACCUGGAUCAAAGGAGAAUGAAGAACACCAAGUUCACACGAUAACUAAGAGCCCAAGAGACAGAAAGGGCCACGUGAACUAGAGACUUACAUCAUCCUGAGACCAGAAGAACUAGUUGGUGCCCGGCUACAACCGAUGACUGCCCUUGCAGGGAGCACAACAGAGAGCCCCUGAGGGAGCAGGAGAUCAGUGGGAUGCAGACCCCAAAUUCUCACAAAAAGACCAUACUUAAUGGUCUGACUGAGACUAGAGGAAUCCCGGAGGUCAUGGUCCCCAAACCUUCUGUUGGCCCAGGACAGGAACCAUUCCCGAAGACAACUCAUCAGACAUGAAAGGGACUGGACAGUGGGUAGGAGAGAGAUGCUGAUGAAGAGUGAACUAAUGAUAUCAGGUGGACACUUGAGACUGUGUUGGCAUCUCCUGUCUGGAGGGGGGAUGGGAGGAUAGAGAGAGUUGGAAGCUGGCAAAAUUGUCACGAAAGGAGAGACUGGAAGGGCUGAUUCAUUAGGGGGAGAGCAAGUGGGAGUAUGGAGUAAGGUGUAUAUAAACUUAUAUGUGACAGUCUAACUUUAUUUGUAAACAUUCACUUGAAGCUCAAUAAAAGUUAAUAAAAAAAAAAGGGGGGGAAAAGAGCAAAAACAUUCUCAACAAAAUAUUAAAUUGAUCAAUACUUAAGAAAGGUAAUACACCAUGUCUAAGUGGGGUUUAAUUUAAGAAAGAAAAACUGAUUCAACAUUUAAAAAGCAAUCAAUAUAUUUCAUCAUAUUAAUAGAAUAAAGGAAAAGAAAAUCCACAUGAUCAAUGCGAUAGAAGUAGAAAGAGCAUUUGACAAAAUACAUCUAUUUAUAGUUAAAAAAAUACCCUUAGAAAACUAGGAAUAGAAUGGAUCUUCCUUAACCUGAUAUUGGGUACUGACAAAACACGUACAGCUAAUAUUUAAUAGUGAAUAACUGAGUGCUUUCCUCUAACAGUGGGGACACUCUCACCACUCUUAUUCAACAUAACAUUGGAACUCUAGCCAGUACAAUAAGAUAAUAAUAAAUAUCUAUCUAAUUUUUUUCAGGACUAGACUGCCAGGUCCUUCUUCCUAGUUUAUCUUAGUCUGGAAGCUCCACUGAAACCUGUCCACCAUGGGUGACCCUGCUGGUAUUUGAAAAACCAGUGACAUAGCUUCCAGCAUCACAGCAACAUGCAAGCCACCACAGUACAACAAACUGGCAGAUGUGUGGGGUGUGUUAAUAAUAAUAGAUAAGAUAGACAAUUUGAAGCCUGGAAAGGAAGAAAUAAAAAUACUUCUAUUACCAUAAAAAAAAAGCACUUGCCAUCAAGUCGAUUUGAACUCAGGGUGACCCCCUGUGUCCAGAGUAGAACUGCACUAUGUAGUGUUUUGAAGGCCAUGAACUUCCAGAAGCAGAUCUCCAGGCCUGUCUUUUGAGGCACCUCUGGGUGGUUUCGAACAGCCAACCUUUCGGCUAGUAGUUGUGCAUUUAACCAUUCGUGCUGCCCAGGGACUGCCUUAAUGUUAGCAAGGAAGAGUUUUGUGCAGUUAACCCACCCACUGACCCACUGCCGCCUAACCGAUUCUGACUCAUAGCGACCCUAUAGGACAGAGUAGAACUGCCCCGUAGAGUUUCCAGGGAGGGCCUGGUGAAUUCGAACUGGUGACCUUUUGGUUAGCAGCUGUAGCAGAGUUAGAUGGUGCUAAAUAGUGAGGUGGAUCUGUGGAACUCAAGUUGGUUACCAUGACUGACACAUAGGUUGUGUCUUGGAGAAUUGGUUAAAGCAGAACCUGGCUAAAAACUGGCUACAGUCAUUCCUACUCCUAAGGAAUAAGAGUUGUUUCUCAUUGAAAGUUUUUAAGCAGGAAAACAAUAUGUUUGGAUCUGUAUUUUGAACAGACAACCCUGUUGUACACAGAAUUUGGAUUGGAGAGGAAAGAUGGAAGUGGAGAGAUGAGUUGAUUAGAGCCUGAACUAGUGCAGAUAACAUGGGAAUAUUUACUUGCUUACUUCUAAACAUGUAAUGCUAUUUGAAUAUAGUUUAUCUGAGUUAACUUCUCUGCUUUUAAAAUUAAUUUUAGUUCAUUAUCCUGCAUUUGCGAAUUUACAUAAUCUAAUCUAAUUGCAUGUUUAAUGUAAAUAGCUCUAAUCACAAAAUUUCUAUGUGUUAAUGACAUAAUUAGAUGAUGCACAAUUAUAAUUUUAAAGAUGUUCAUAAGGCAUGGCCAAACAUAAGCUUACCAGAGGGAUGUGGCCUUUGAGGUCAGAGAUUGUGGGAAGUGGAAGGACCAUAUAUUGCCUAUUUCAACCCGCUCACUUUAACAAGUAACAUUUUACCAAAGAAUGUAGAAGAAGCAUUUGUGUACUAUUUUCCUAAGUUUUUCAUCUUUAUACACUGAAUGGGAUUAGUGUGUUAAAAGAAGAAAGAGAACAAGACCUUCAUGGAAUGCAGUAAUCCAAUGAAAGGAGAGGAAUUUUUUAGAAUAAUGAGUAGAUUGAUGCAUGGGACAGUUCUCAGCUCUUUUUACUCAUUUGUUCAUUCUUUCAUCUGACUUGUUUGGAAAUCUCCUUAUACUAGGGUGUUGAACCCAGGUCUACUUGACUGCAGAAAAUUAGACCUGAAUCUUAUGAAUAAGACCUGAUCUACAAUAAUAAAACGAAAGAUAGAUAUGAAUGACACAAUAUGAUGCAGCAUGUUCUAUAAUAAUACUGCAAAGAACUAACCAGUUACAUAGAGGGAUGAAAAAUGAACUUUGCUUUCAGGAUUUGGGAAGGCUUUGUAGAAGGGAUGAUAAGUGAGUUACAUCUUAAAGAGGAAUUUAACAGACAAAAAAGAGGACAAAGGCAAUUCUGUCAGAAGUAACAAUUUCUUCAGAGAUAAACGAUUGCUACAAAGUCAGAUGUGCCUGAGUACCACAACGAAUUUAUGAGGAGAGAGUGAUGAUGUUGGACAUGUAGUUUGGGGCUAGAAUAUAAAGACACCAUUUGCCAUACUAAGAGUGAGCUUUGCUUUAUAGACAAUGAAAAAUUGAUAAAAACUUUUAUACCUAGAAAGUUAUGUGAUGAGAAUUGUGUUUUAGAAUAAUAGCUCUGGGGGCAGUGUGAAAGUGGCUUGCAGGCAGGACACCAGUUACAAAAUAUUGAGACAGAAAAUUAUAUAUAAAAAAAAAGUUUAAACAAGAAAGGGUGUACUAAGAGGAUGGGAAUGGAAAUGAAUAUGAUAAUAUGUGCACAUUGCAGUGAUAUUAUAGAUAUACCAUAGAUAUGGGCAGAGGUCAAACAAACUAUCAUAGAUAAAGACGGACAUCAAAUUAUGGCUUACAAACACAACGAAUGGGGUGGGGGAGAACAAUAGAAAGGGGCAGGAGGUAAUUGGAGAUAGGAAUGGUGAUGUUAACAACCAAGCUAAGAAAUUGGGCAAGAAGAACAGAAUUGGGAGUGAACCGAGUGAUUUUAUUAUGUGUUUGUUGAAAAUGUGGUCCAGCUAAGAGCACAUCUUGUCAGCAAAUAUUUUUUACACUUUGUUCAUUUGAGCUCCAUUUUCAGUUUUUAUUAAAUUUCAUCAUCUGUACUAUAAUUUGCUCAAUGCUUGUCUUUGCAUUGAUUCACUUUUUUCCUACAUACAUUUAUUUUAAAAGGAAAACCUAGUACCUUUACCAUUAAUGUAAACAAGUGCCGUCAAUUUUCCUAUAUACAAGUAAAUAUUAAAUUAAUGCAUUAAACCAAGAGAAAUUUAAAGUUUUCAAUUAAAUACAAAAUUAUCAUGAUUCUAACUGGUUUAUCCAAAAAAAAAAAGUGCUUAAAAAAUCUUUCCCCAGUGGGAAUAAAAUAAAACUCUUUAAAAAGUGAUACUUGCUUUAAAAUAAAGAUAAGGUUCUAUAUCUGUAUCUAUAAAAUUGUUCCAAUAUUUAGUUCUAAAGUUCACUGGCACUAAGAAAAUAUAUUCAUAAGUUUCUAUGGUCAGAAAGGGUAGUAUCCUUAGCCAGACUACAAUUUAAAUUUUUACUAUGGAUUGGGAGCUCUUUGAGCAUAUGGGAUGCAACUUAGUGCCUACCUUCAUCCUCCUCUCAGGGAAAAAGAUUUAAAGAAAUGUAUUAGAUUAAAACUGCUCCCUUUUCUUCUCCUUCACAUCCCAGGACCUUUUGGACUGUACCAGACUCAAAUGCUAACCCUGGGUUAGAAGCAAGGGUUAGAAGCCCAGUGCAGCCCAAGUCAGAGAAGAGCAUGGUGCUAAGAGCAGUACAAACCCUGAUAACAAAGAACACUUGUUCUAAUUUCCCAGACUUACCUCCCAAGAAUGUAGGCCAUAGCUAGAGUCUCAGAGGGGGAAAAGUAAGGGUGCAGACUUACCAAGUGUCAACUGGCUCACCAAAAGACUUAAAAUUAUCUCCUGAAUCACCAGGUGGGUACCACCUCUUGAAAAAUACUGCAACAAUUAAGGACGCAACUGGAACUGAAAGAAAAGUGAAGUUUAGAUGUAAAGGACUGCACAUCUUAGGUAUCAGGUAGUAAUCGUGAUCAUUGGAAUGAAUUGAUCUUGAUACAUCUCAGUGUCUAACUGCCUUGUCUCCCUGUGACUAAGGGUCAGUAGAUACUAUCCUGUUUAAUCGGGGUUAUUUUCAUUAUAUCAUUAAUUUUACUUCAUUAUUGAGCAUGAAUCUGACUUAGUUUAUUUGCUACCUAAGGAUUUUAGGGAUGUGUGUGUGUGUGUGUGUGUGUUUGUAUUCAUGGGUAGUGGUUGAUGUUGUUCAGCUAGAAAUUGAGAUAUAUGAAUUAAAAAUAGCAGAUUUUGUUUUCUAAAUGAGUUCGAGGAUGAGUGGCAAGUGUAAAUAUCUUUUUGGAAGGGCAAUGUUUCAAAUUAGUAGGUCUAUAUUUGUUAAUAUUUAUGUAUAAUGCAUUGUGCAUUAUAUUACCCUAGAAACUUUAGGAAAAUUUACAUUGAUUUCACAAAACUUGAAGGAAGUACAUACUGAUAUUUUGAAAUAUGUAGUGUUUACAUUGAAUAGUGUGUCUAUAGAGCUCCUCUGGAGCUAUUAUCUCUUAUUGGUUCAAAUCCUUGAUUUUUAUAAAAUAUCUAAUCACAUAUCAAUCUGAUUUUUCUACUCUUUCCUAGGGAAUUAUGUGAUUUUCCCUGGAAAAUAGCAUAAUUUCCAUCAUAAACAUUUAUUUUAUGUACAAUCUAUUUCUUAAAUAACUAUAUAGAAAAUUAGAGGUAAACAUAAAAUGAGGUGAGAUGUUUAAUAACAAAGACUUAUCCACGUUAUAGACCCUGCAGACCCUUUCCUCUCUGAUUAAUGUUUGAAUUAAUGAUGGCAUUAAUUACUAUAAUUCAGCAGUAUUUCCUUUCCACAAAAUUUGUCAUGUUAUUUAUGUUAUAUCUCAUUUUUGUGAAACUUUUCUCGAACGAGACAAUGCAUAAACAAACAUAAAAACAAACAAAAUAUCUAAGAGGAACUUAAAUUCUCAAGCUUGAUGUUCUUCUUAGACAAUUACCCAUGUCGUUUUAAAUCCCAUUCUAAUUGUUUAGCUCAUGGCAUUUAGUCUGAAUAGACUUUGGGUAUUGUCUGUCAGAAACAAGUCCUGCCUGUUCUUUUGCUGUAGAGCUUAGAAUAAAGAAGCAAUGUAGUUGUUAUGAAAAAAAAAAAAAACCUUAAUAGUUUGAAUAACUAAAUUCCCAUUUGCUUUGGCCCCUUAAAAGAACAACUAGUUAGUUCCAGGUUUAAAGGAAAAUAAAAGCCUCUUUAAUUUGAUUAUCUUAAUAUAUAAGAACAGCAAUUAAAUAAAUUGUCACACCCACAAUAUAACUCAGAGAUAGAAAAUAACACAAAUUGACUAGUUGACUCUAAAGCCCACACAAAACAGGGAAAUGUAUGGGAAUUCUAUGGACCAGGGGAAAAUGUGUCAGAGACCUAGUGGUAAUAGAUCAGAGAAAACAUGAUGGAAAAUUCAUCUUCAAAGAAGAAUGCCCUAACCUAACAGAGGAAACACUGAGAAUAGGCAUGAGGCUUGCUGGAUCAGAGGACUGGACAAAGGAAAGUAAAAAAGUGAGGAAAAGUUAGUAUGGAAGAAGGCUGUGGUCUUUAGAAUCUUGAUAGAAAAUAGAAAGCAGAGAGCAAAGACAAGGAUCUUCCUGAAAAAAAUCAGUAUUUAAGAAUUAGAAAAAGAUAGAAAGAAAAUAUUGCCGUUUUUUUUUAAGCUGAACUUCAGUGUAGUGACUAAAGGAAACACUCUUGAACUAGAUAACCUAGUAGUUCACCCAACAACUCCCCUAUCCAUUUCAAGAUCACAUAUUAAUGUUAGUCCAGGAAAAUCCAUCACAAAUAACGAGCAAGAAAAAGAAAAAAAAAAAGCGAGUGUUCACAUCCAUUACUGUAAUAAGAAAUGACAAAUACAUAUAUAUAUAUAUAGAACAUGAACACAAGGUAUGAUUAAAAAAAAGAAAGAUAAAAGUAAUACAUAUUCUCUCUUAUCUCUUGCCUUUGAGUUGAAUCUGACUCAUAGCAACCCUAUAGGACAGAGUAGAACUGCCCCACAUUGUUUCCAAGGAGUGUCUGGUGGGUUCAAACUACCGACGUUUUGGUUAGCAGCCAUAGCUUUUCACCACUAUCGACCAGGGUUUCUAUAUUCUCUCUUGGACAUCUGAUAACAGUAUUCACUUUCAAGAUGAUUUAUUAAAUUUCUUUCUAUUUCUGUCAUGAUUUCAAUCAGCUCCCAUUUCGCAGCCUCCUUUUCGUCUGUUUUUAUUCUGAGUCACUGAAUGUCUAAUUCAUGGUGUUAUUUCCUAUAUAUAAUUGAACUUAAAUUAUAUUUUCUUCAAAUUGUAGUGUCAUAGUCAAAUUUCUUCUAUUUCACUGCUUUUUUCUAUGUGUAUAUGUGUGUGCUUGUGCACUUCCAUCUGUUGAAUAGUUUUGGUUUUUAUUUUCUUUAUAGAAUAUUCACAUUUUUUGUCCUUAAGUUUAUCGUAAAAGUUGUUCCAAUGUUGUCUUCAAUGGAUUUUGCUGUCAAGAUAUCUGAUACAAAAUUGAUUUCUUCCCUUUAUAAAUGAUGUUUUACUUUGUCUUUAAUAUCUAGUAUUAUCUGCGUUAACUUUCCCAAGUAAACAGUGGAGUCUUUUAGUAUGAGAAAUGAGAUACGGUUAAAUGUCAAUAAAAUUUUCUUAAAUUAUAAUUAUAAAUUUUAAUCCUGAUCCAUGUUGUUUUACUUUUAAGUAAUUAUAAGUAUUUUGGAUUUUCUUUGCUUGUCAUCUAUAAUUUUUUCUCUGACUUUUCUACCUUUUUAAAUUUUAUUUUUAUUCUUGAUUCUUUUCAUUUCUAUUCAAUUCACAGCUUCGACUAAAAAUAAAAUAGGGACAGGAUGAAAGAAAAGUAAAAAUAUUUUAUUUGAUAAUGCUCUUAAGUACAUAUAUCAAUAAAUAUUAAAGAAUUAAAAUAAAUUCAGCGACAAAUGCAAAAGGUUAAAAACCUAACAGAAAUAAGGACAUAAUGUAGAAAAAUGCAGAAAUUAUAGCAGAAAAGACAAAUAUAGAUGCAAUAAUUGAAUAAAUAAUUUGGUUCUUUUAAAAAUAAAAAGAUGAAUAAACCACCAGUUAUAAUCUAACUUGAAAAGAUAAAAAAGCACAAUUAUAUAAAAUAAGAAAUUAAAAAAUAACUAUUGCAAAAAUUAAAAAAAAAAAGAAGAAGAAAAUUACCUCGUUUUUAAAUCUAUGUAAAUAAACUUGAAAGCCCAGACGGAAACUUUUGGUCAUUGUUGUUAGGUGCCGUCGAGUCAGUUCCGACUCAUAGCGACCUUAUGCACAACAGAACGAAACACUGCCCGGUCCUGAGACAUCCUUGCAAUCGUUGCUUUGCUUGAGCUCAUCCUUGCAGCCACUGUGUCAAUCCACCUCUCUGAGGGUCUUCCUCUUUUCCACUGACACUGUACUCUGACAAGCAUGAUGUCCUUCUCCAAGGACUGAUCCCUCCCAACAACAUGUCCAAAGUACUUAAGAAGCAGUCUCGCCAUCCUUGCUUCUAAGGAGCAUCCUGGCUGUACUUCUUCUAAGACAGAUUUGUUCAUUCUUUUGGCAGGCCAUGGUGUAUUCAAUAUUCUUCACCAACACAACAAUUCAAAGGCGUCAACUCUUCUUCGGUCUUCCUUAUUCAUUGUUCAGCUUUCACAUAUAUAUGAUGUGAUUGAAAAUACCAUGGCUUGGGUCAGGCACACCUUAGUCUUCAGGGUGACAUCUUUGCCCUUCAA